GAUGAACGCUAGCGAUAGGCUUAACACAUGCAAGUCGAGGGGCAGCAUGGUCUUAGCUUGCUAAGACUGAUGGCGACCGGCGCACGGGUGCGUAACGCGUAUGCAACUUGCCUCACAGAGGGGGAUAACCCGUCGAAAGACGGACUAAUACCGCGUACACUUGGGAUAGGGCAUCCUGACCCAAGGAAAUGAAAUUCGCUGUGAGAUAGGCAUGCGUCACAUUAGCUAGUUGGUGAGGUAACGCCUCACCAAGGCGACGAUGGGUAGGGGAACUGAGAGGUUGAACCCCCACACUGGUACCGAGACACGGACCAGACUCGUACGGGAGGCAGCAGUGAGGAAGAUUGGUCAAUGGGCGAGAGCCUGAACCAGCCAAGUCGCGUGAAGGAUGACUGUCUUAUGGAUUGUAAACUUCUUUUAUACGGGAAUAACAAGAGUCACGUGUGGCUCCCUGCAUGUACCGUAUGAAUAAGCAUCGGCUAACUCCGUG
rnacentral:rRNA from 1 species